rnacentral:tmRNA from 1 species
GGGGGCGUACUGGUUUCGACGGGGGAUGUAUUGGCAGGAGUAGCCAGGCGGGGUUCCAUCAGCCCGUAAUACGGUGGACCUUAAAUUAAACGCAAACGAAAAUUACGCUUUAGCUGCUUAAUUGCAGUUAACCUCCUACCUACUGCUCCCGCGGUGUAGGAUAGGGGGACGACUAGCGGGAUACCCUGAAUCGACCGCCUGCUGGAUUUAGGGGAAACUUAAGCGGGCUAGCCUAAGCGAGAUCCUGUUCCUGGGAGCUCCGGCGGCGAAUCCUAGAACAGGAACUAUCCUGGUAGAAGCUCUUGUGGGUGCUCCUUCGGACAGGAGUUCGA